rnacentral:lncRNA from 1 species
CUUCAACAAAGGCUGACACAGAGAACAAUUAUACUUAUUAGGCAUAUUUAUCAAUCUUAGCUGGAAAUGAUGCCUGGAUGUAAUCACUCUAUGGCACAGUUACACAUGCUUUCUGAUCUCAGUAUUUACCAUAAUAAAUCUGCUGCUACAUUGAGGCAUACUGCCCUCAAAAACCUAUUUGUAACAAAAUUGACCUGGCCAGAAAAUAUGAAUGUAC